GAACGCUGGCGGCGUGCUUAACACAUGCAAGUCAAUGCAGAAAGUACCUUCNGGGUAUGAUUAAACUGGCGAACGGGUGAGUAACGUGUGGGUAAUUUGCCUUCGAGCGGGGGAUAGGCCCGGGAAACCGGGAUUAAUACCGCAUAAAGUCAUAAUACGAUGGUGUUGUGAUGAAAGGUGGGGACCUUCGGGCCCGCCACUUGGAGAUAAGCCCGCAUCUGAUUAGUUAGUUGGUAGGGUAAUGGCCUACCAAGACCGCGAUCAGUAGCUGUUCUAAGAGGAAGAUCAGCCACAUUGGGACUGAGAUACGGCCCAGACUCCUACGGGAGGCAGCAGUGAGGAAUUUUGCGCAAUGGGGGAGACCCUGACGCAGCAACGCCGCGUGACCGAUUGAAGCUUUUAGGAGUGUAAAGGUCUGUCGUGAAGGAAGAAAAAGUCCGAGAAUAAUAAGUUCGGUAAUUGACGGUACUUCACAAGCAAGCUCCGGCUAACUUCGUGCCAGCAGCCGCGGUAAUACGAGGGGAGCAAGCGUUGUCCGAAAUAACUGGGCGUAAAGGGUACGUAGGCUUUUUUGUAUGUUUUCGGUGAAAUCCACAGGCUCAACUUGUGGCUUGCCGGAAAAACUGCAGAGAUUGAAUCCGGAAGGGGAAAGCGGAAUUCCUGGUGUAGCGGUGAAAUGCGUAGAUAUCAGGAGGAACACCAGUGGCGAAGGCGGCUUUCUGGUCCGGAAUUGACGCUGAUGUACUAAAGCGUGGGUAGCAAACAGGAUUAGAUACCCUGGUAGUCCACGCCCUAAACGAUGUAUACUUGAUGUCGGGAUGUUCGGUCGUCUCGGUGUCGUAGCUAACGUGUUAAGUAUACCGCCUGGGGACUACGGUCGCAAGACUGAAACUCAAAGGAAUUGACGGGGGCCCGCACCAGCGGUGGAACAUGUGGUUUAAUUCGAUGCAACGCGAAGAACCUUACCUGGGCUUGACAUGUCCGGAACCUUGCCGAGAGGUGAGGGUGCCUUCGGGAGCCGGAACACAGGUGGUGCAUGGCUGUCGUCAGCUCGUGUCGUGAGAUGUUGGGUUAAGUCCCGCAACGAGCGCAACCCACGUUCUUAGUUGCCAGCAUUGAGUUGGGCACUCUAGGGAGACUGCCGGUGACGAACCGGAGGAAGGUGUGGAUGACGUCAAGUCAGCAUGCCCCUUACGUCCUGGGCUACACACGUACUACAAUGCUGUGGACAAAGGGCAGCCAGCCAGCGAUGGUGAGCUAAUCCCAGAAACCACGGCUCAGUUCAGAUUGCAGGCUGCAACUCGCCUGCAUGAAGGAGGAAUCGCUAGUAAUCGCAGGUCAGCAUACUGCGGUGAUACGUUCCCGGGCAUUGUACACACCGCCCGUCACACCAUGGGAGUUGGUUUU
rnacentral:rRNA from 1 species